GAUCGGAAAAUGGGUGGAUGGAUAGAUGAAAAUUUCAAUUUGUAAUGGCAUUUUUUUAUCAUACCAUCCACAGUCAAGGUUUCAUAAACAAAAAUUCACACAUUGUUUCAUAAAACAAAAAGGUAAAGAAUGAAAUAGACCUGUAAUACAAAUAAAUUAAAAAAUCCUUACUGUUUGUUAGGCCUGAUAUUUUCUCAGCAAACGAAUAUUAUAAUACCUAACAAAUAAUAAUUUAAUGGUUUAUACUGUAAUUGUAUGAUGGAAAAUGAGAGGUGGCUAUAUAAGGGAGGCAUUUUUUCGUCAUGGGACAAUGCAAACGGCACCUGAAUGGGGCCUGGCCUCUAUAAUAGGGAUGGCCACUCGUGGAGUAAAUAUGAUGUCUCAUUUAAAGUCUUUACCAAACAAUUAAUACAAAGCGAAACAUUAGACCAACAUCCCCCAGCUUUAUUUAAGUCAUGUCAGAACGGCUAUGUUAGAUUAUACACAGGUCUACAAUAUGUACAAGCAUGAGUAUUAUUUUCAUUAAAUAUUUUGUUGACGUAAAAUCACAUACACACAAUGCGCACACUCAUGGCAAAAAAUAGUCACACGCUCCUCUGGAAUGUUAACAUGUGUGUUAGAAACACGGCAGGUUUGUUGAAGAAUGUUCUUUGUUAGUCACAACAAUGUUACAGAGAGAAUAUUACAGCAAAAAAAAAACACAAAUACACAAUGUGGAGUCAUUCCCAUUUAAAAAACAAAACAAAAACAAACAAAAAACAAAACACACGCACGCACACACACACACACACACGAAAAAAACGACAGAUCAUUAUGACUACAAGACAGAACCUGAUGGAAAAAAAAGGGUAGAAAAUACGGAAGACCAGAAAACUUUAACUAAACUUUUAAACAGAAAAUACGCUAUGCAUGAUAUUUAACUGACUAUUCAAGUAGGACACACUUGCAGAAUGAACAGCUAUUUUCUACACGACGUCAUUUCUUGUCACAGUUUCCACCAAGCAGUAAAUUUUAGUGCGUUAAAUCCUGCUACAGCCAUAAUUGCGCAAGCGACUUGAAGAGUGCAAGUUUGCAGCAGGUUCACACACAUUUUUUAAAUUUGAUUUGCACUAGCGCUGUCGUUCAACAUUUGAGAGAAGUAUAGGCCGUCACUACCAUAUUAGUCCUCAAGUCAUGAUACAUUGUUGCAGUUCACCAGCAAAUCUUGUGAUUCAGAAACAAACAAAAAAAUGUAUGAUAAAAAUGUUGUUGAAUAAAACUAAAAGAACUUGUAGGGUUAAUCCAAUAAUGGGGGGGGGGGGGGGGUUGGGGGGUGUUGGAUCACUAACGCUAUGUAAACGUCAAGUGUUAGCCGCCAAUGAAUUGAGCGUGGACAUGUUUGAACUGCGUCGUGGAAACUUUUGGCCUUUUUUCCGGACGUGAAUGGGAAACCAAAGCACAACAUGGCGACAGGAAGUACAUCAUCUUUAAAGCACUGUUCUGUCUUUUUAAAGCGGACCUCACAGGACAUGACAACGUGAACCGAAGACGAAGGAAAAUACAAAUUAAAAAUACAAACGCUAGUUUCAUAUUCACACAUGAUCCGGGCGGGCCUGAGGAUCGUAAAGGGAACGGCAAGUGAAGGUCCACGUAGGCAAUGUAAAAACAUCCAGUUCUGGAUGCACGACGUAUGCCCCAAAUGACUUAUGGUCAGCCGUGGUCAGACGGCCCGUCGGGGGCGGCCUUGUUGGCGCAGGCGACGACGUUUGGCUGUGUUCAAGACAGGAACUUCUCCCGGGUCUCGGGCAGCUUUAGCGCCAGCAGACCCCCGCAAACGAGCGCAGAGAAGGCCAAGAAGAUGGGGAUGAUCUUUGUGAUGCCCACGAAUGCCGCAAAGAUGAAGCUGGCGAUGAUGGCGGCCAACUUGCAGAUGCCGUUGAGGAUGCCAAACGCUGUGCCUCUGCAAAGUUAAGAUAUACGAUGACGGGUACAGUUCCACAGAAAUGACCUCCAGUCCAUUCCAGGCUGCCACGCUAGCGCCAUAGAACAGACACUGCCAACAUAUAACCGCUCCUUGACUGAAGCUCAGCAGCAGUAGAAAGGUGCAGGCAGAUGACACAAGCAUGGAACCACCUGGAAAGGAGGAAUCGCGGACUUUCCGGCAUGAAGAAGACGCCGACUAGAGCAGCCAGAGUGGGAAAGAGACACACCAGGAUAAAGAGUCUCCAGCUGUGCAUCUGGAAUUCUGUGCCGAUGGCAAAGCCCCAACCUGGAAGCACGUGGUCAACAUUUCACAGUAAGUCAGAGUCGCAAUGGCAAUUUUGUCUGUGUUCCUGUCGGAUCUCCUUGUGCUUUCUAUACUGUAUGAUGCUGUGUAAAUUGGAUUGGAUUGGAUAAGCUUUAUUGUCAAAUGUACUGUAUGUGUACAUCUCUCAAAUGAUCACAUUGCUGUUGUACAUUCAUGCGUGGCAAACCCCUGCCUAUUUGUGGUUCACAAUUCAGAAAUUCAAAACAAGUUAGUUUUUUUCCUCCCGUGCAACCUAUCCUGAAACACUCACCUAUUCGCAGGUAGGAGGGCUAAACUAAGUUUAGCCUGGGUUGUUAGCAGAAGUAACAGAGACUCUUCACUGUGUGUGAGUUGUUGUUGUUUUUGCUUCGGAAUAUUCGUUGAAGAAUGUAAAUUGUCGUUGAUGAUUUAUCAAAGACUUGAACUUGUCCCUUUUGUUCUGCUUAUGUUUGACUUUGACAAAAAAUAAAAUGUCUUCACUGUUAACAAGCAUACACCCAUUAAAGGUCAAGACAUUUGAACAUUUUUAACAUUGUCUUUGAUGUUUAUGAUAACGUAGAAAUUCUAAAAUCCACAUGCAUCAAACACAUGACCUGGGGGCCAGAUCAGGCCCAUUGCAUCACUCCAUUUGGCCUGCUAAAGCAAAUAAAGUGUCUACUUCAUGACAAAAGGUUUGUCCUAGUUUUAAAUUUCGGCAAAAAAUAUGUCCUAAAUAAGUUUUUUUAUGGUUAAUGAAACAACGAAAACACAAGCUUUUGGGGUUUAUUCAUGCAUUUAUUGAAGUAUUGAUUUUCAGCUGUACAGAAGAAGGAAGGUGUGUGUGUGUGUGUGUGUGUAUGUGUGUGUGCGUGCGUUACCGUAGUGGGGGAUGAUCCCCCAGGCUGUGAAGGAAGCGUAGAGGCCUCCCAACAUCCAGAACAUCCAAAGCCAGCUCAGAUGUUCGCCACGUUUGUCCAUCUGCAGGAACUCGGUGAAUAAACUGGAAGUAACAAACUGCUUGAAGCAAGCACGCUUGACCUCUUGUGUGGAGACGCAUGCACAGGCGCGCGCGCGCACACACACACACACAUAACCACUAAUAGUAUCCUAUAGUGAAUGUAAUGUAAAUGUGAAUUAUUUACGGUAAAGGUCAGCGGUAAUGACAUUGACAUUUUGUACAUGCAAAUGGGAAUUUAAUUGAAGUCAAAUGUGCGGGCAUCUCACCCAAAGCCGGAGCAGAACCUGAAGAAGACGAAGAAGCCGUAGCUCUGAGCGAAACACGACAGAAAGGAGAAGAGCAGAUCGAUGGACAGCACGUAGAUCAGGCACUUCCUGCGCCCCAUCUUGUCGCAGAGACCCCCCCACACCAGUGCGCCCACCAUCAUGGCCACGUACACCAGCAGUCCUGACAGACAUGAGCACACCACUUGUUACGCAUUGUGGCAAAACAGUAAGCCUGCUCUUAUUUUCAUUCUGAAUACAUUACAUCUUAUUUUUAUGUGAUACUAUUUCAAGCUAUUUGAUUUCAGUUCGUCCCUGAGUGUAUUAAUUAAGAGUGAGCAUUAUUGGCUUCGCAAAGGACCUCAUUAGAUGUGUCAGUUAACCUGUGGCCUGUAAGACUCCGGUACUAGAAAUACAUCUGAUUUCCACUAGGAGGCACCCUUCCCCCUUCUAUGAGCACGUCGAAGUCCCCCAUUUGAUUUGCUAAUGUAUGUUUUUAGAGACUGACUUCAUGUUGACGCCAGCGAUCAAGAUGGCUGAAUAUUCAUGCGGCAGGAAUAAGAAAUAAAGGUCAGCAUCAUAAAACAUUGAA